CCACCAAUUGCAGAUUUUUCCUUUUACUUUAAAUUCCCAUUAGUCUUGCUUCAUAACCUAGUAAUAGAUUAAUUGGAUAUUGUAAGAUUCAAGAUUGCUUAAUGUCAUUUCCUGUACAUAAGUGUAAACAAGAACUUAAUAAUUGUUAACACAAGAGGUUCUUCAGCUGCUAGAAAUCCAGAGCAACACACACAAAAUGCUACGGGAAUGAAUAAUCAGUCAACAUUUUGAGACAAGACCCUUCACCAGUACUGUAAAAAAAAGGCAGGAAGAUACCAGAAUAAGAAGCAUCACAAACUGGUUGAGACCAAUAGGUCAACACUGCUGUUUUCAUGCAAAAACAUGAGCACACUACCACCCUGGGAAGGAGGCAGUGUGAGAGAGAACACAGGUGCGGCGGGAAUGCUGGAAUCUGCUGGUUGAGGGCUGGCCCCUGGGGUCUGGCUCUCCUGUCGAGGCUUCUCCAGGGAAGAUGAGCUGGAUUGCCUGCAUCUGUAGCUGGCCCAGUACAAGAUGAGAAACUGCUGUGUACUUGUUUUUACAGAAGUAUGGCUCCAAAACAAUAUUCCAUGCAUCAUAAAUCUUCAGGCCGUGCCACACGUGGUCUUGUGCUAUUAAUAUUUUUCCAACUGUAUGUGCUAUAGCUGCUAUAUGUAUUUGCUGUGUUUGACACCUUGGCUCUGGAGGAGCACUGUUUCAUUUAUACAUGUGUAUGGUUGAAUGAGAAUUAAACUUCAACUUUUGUGA